rnacentral:rRNA from 4 species
UCUAGCGACAAUAGCACUGUGGCACCACCUGAUCCCAUUCCGAACUCAGAAGUGAAACGCAGUAGCGC